rnacentral:lncRNA from 1 species
AUAAAGCCCAAUUCCCUCUGGCCUCGGCAGUUUGGAUCAUCACCAGGGAACCAACCUAUGCCUCCUACGAGAUGAAAGCACCACUCCAAUAACAGAGAAUCCUAUUGAAGUUCAAGACCCCUAGAAAUGCCACAGUUUAGGACUCAUAUCUGAGGACCUCCCCUGGUGAACACUGGAACUUCAUUUGCAGUAUCAACUGGGCCUUUGCUACAUACCCUCAGGAUCAUUCCUCUGGGCCACAUCUCCCAGGAAGAUCUCACCUCACCACUGAAGCUCCUGGUCCAACCUGCAAUGCCACGCUCCGUGUAUUUGACAAGCUGAGUUGGACACUCCAUGUAGUAGAGUGUCAGUUUGUCAAAUACCCCAAGUGCGGCAUAUGCCUAGCAGCACCAGGCCAGAACUUCAAGAUAAAAUAAAUAGACUGCCAGCUGGAUACAAGAACAUCAAUCAACUUAGCUUUCAGAGGCUAUUUUUGGUAAAUUUGAUGCUACUAAAGCAUUGCACCUGAGAGUGUCAAAGUGAGGCAGCUCUGCUACACACACUGUGGGAGCCCUAGUGGGACACAGUAGUCUUGAAG